rnacentral:rRNA from 1 species
UACAGGGGGGGCAAGCGUUGUUCGGAAUUACUGGGCGUAAAGGGCUCGUAGGCGGCCGACUAAGUCACACGUGAAAUCCCCAGGCUUAACCUGGGAACUGCGUGUGAUACUGGAUGGCUUGAAUCCGGGAGAGGGAUGCGGAAUUCCAGGUGUAGCGGUGAAAUGCGUAGAUAUCUGGAGGAACACCGGUGGCGAAGGCGGCAUCCUGGACCGGUAUUGACGCUGAUGAGCGAAAGCCAGGGGAGCAAACGGG